rnacentral:tmRNA from 1 species
AGGAAAGGCUAAGCGUGUAGAAACCUUUUUUGCUACUUGUUUGGACGGCGGUUCGAUUCCGCCCGGUUCCACAA